UACAAAAUCCAAGAAAGUGUUUGAAGUGAGAUGAAAUGAAGGAAUACAUAAAGCUUUAUAUAGAAGAUGGCUUCACCUGGUGGUGGUGGGGUUAAAUCAUACAAAUGAAUGGGGUAUACAACAAGAAGGAAGUUUCAAAGUAACAAUAUGCAUUUAUUCUUUCUGUCACUUUAUCAAUUGGAAGGACCUGAUUCCAACUUGGCCAUCUUAUCUGGCAUAAAGGGUGAACAUAACUUUGAUGUUGAUUACUAUUGUAAUAUACAUGGCAUGCAUGUCAGUUUACCCAUGUUUCCUCUGAUUGAGUUGUUGGUUGGGCAAAAAAGGAUUCAGGUCUCCCAUGUUUGUCUGUAAGUACCUACCAGUUACCACUUUACCACAUGGGCUGUGCUUGUACAGUUACAGCACUUGUAGCUUAUUACUGUUUCAGAUCCCUCCUUA